CUGAACAGUCACAUGUUAUGGGGCCAUCCUAUCCUCUGAUGGUGGGGAUUCAAUCACAUGCAGUGGAUAUUAGUGCAGAUGAAUGAACGUGAGAGGUAGGGUCCAAGGAAACUGAUGAAAAGGCUGAUGAGGUUCUAAAGUAGGAUAUUUUGGAUUGUUGGACGCCAAAAAAUCACUACGGAUGGACUGAAUCUGAGUGUUAAACAUGUUGGGUUUAGACCAUCUGUAAUGAUUUUCUGGAGUCCAACAAUCCAGAAUAUCCAACUUUAGAACCUCAUCAGCCUUUUCAUCGGUUUCCUUGGACCCUACCUCUCACGUUCAAGUAGCUGCACUAAUGUUGGAGCUAAUCUGAAUGAAGGUUUUGAAACCUUAAUUGAAUAAAAAGGCUUUUUAUGUGGGUUGCUGAUAAAUGUACCUUCAUUUUAACUGAAGGAGAUUCAGCUAAGGCUCUUGCAAAGCUGGAGAGACUUCAAGAAGAGGAAUUAGUAGAGAAGCCAUUUCAACGGAAACAAAUGAAAGUAAGGUUCCCUGAGCAUGGAAGAAGUGGAAGAUCUGUUGUAACAAUUAAUAACUUGGAAUUUGGCUUUGGAGAUAAGGUGCUCUUGAACAAGGCAAAUCUUACAAUUGAAAGGGGAGAAAAACUUGCCAUAAUUGGCCCAAAUGGAUGUGGAAAAAGCACUUUGCCGAAAUUAUCAUUUGGAUUUAGAGAAGCCAAGAGGGGGUGAAGUUUUGCUUGGGGAGCAUAAUGUCCUGCCAAACUAUUUUGAGCAAAAUCAGGCUGAGGCACUUCAUUUCAAUAAAACAGUGCUUGAGACAGUAGUAGAAGCUGCAGAGGACUGGAGAAGUGAUGACAUAAAGGGACUCCUUGGGCGUUGUAAUUUUAAAGCUGAUAUGCUUGAUAGAAAGGUUUCUCUUUUGAGUGGUGGUGAGAAGGUAAGCUAAAACUGUAUGCUCUUAUGCGAUUU